UGACAGCCGACCCUCUGGUACUGCGAGGUAGAGUUUCUCAGCGUGACGCAACCGCAGCACCGAUCACUGUGAUAAGACCUGUUCAGAGCAAGAAAACAAACUCUUCAUUACACUGUGAUCAAACAACCCUUACUGCAGGGUCUUUCCUUUAGUCUCCGGCAGCAUGAAGUAAAAGAAUACAGCAGCUAGAACGGCGGUGGUCCCGUAAAGACAGAACAUCCCUGACAGUCCCAAGACAUCUGAGGAACACAAACACACUUCAGGCUCCAAGCAGGGGUUUUUUUUUUUAGUUUGUUUAUUUCCUCUUCAGGAACUCUGAACCUGUCCUGGAGCUGAAUACGGAAACCUGUCUGGACCAGGAUUUGAACCCGCAACCUGCUCUGACAACGAGCCCAAUCUUUCAACUACUCGAACACCAGCCAACCAAAGGGAAAAUAAAUUAGAGAAACUAAAAGUACUGAAGUGGAGUUACUAAUACCUAACAUCCUAACAGUCCCGACAGGUCCUGACAGGUCCUAACAGUCCUGACAGGUCCUAACAGUUCUAACUUAGGUCCUAACAGUCCCGACAGGUCCUAAUAGUCCCGACAGGUCCUAACAGUUCUAACUGUUUAUACUUGAAUGUGAGUUGUGAGAGAAAAAAUAUUUUAACAUUGUUUUUUUUUUUUUCUGAAUAUAUUCUUUUAAGGUGAAUAUAAAUGAAUAUGGAUUAAUCCUCCA